CCUGAGUUCAACAUAUCUUCAGAAGCUGGUGCAACAGUGGUAUCCCCGGUGGUGAGCUGGAUUGAGUCUGUCGUCAAAAUAGAAGUCGACAUACAAAGAACAGCUUUUUCCCAGCUGACCUCAUCUGCAGAGCUGGAGACCCCCAGGGACACUUCCUCUCUCCCCCAAACCUACUUCCACAUCUACUUACUUCAGCACCUUCUUCCUCCCCUGUACAUGCUGGAACCCAUAAAAAAAAACCUCCAUGGACAACCCAGAUGCAUGAUUUACAGUCAAAAAUUCUAUUAUUAAACCUCACAUCUCCCACCUUUCAGUGCCAUUAGUGCAGCAGAAGAAUCUGAGUCUAUAAUUAACUUUCCUCACACAAGUGCCCACAAGAUUGUCAAAAGUAGUGGCCAAGAAGUGAACACUGAUACAUUCAUGAUGCCUCUGUAAUUAUGGAACAUUUAAUCAUAUUACAGCUUUAUUGUUAUUUAGGUUCUUGGAGCCAUCAAUGUAAAUCUGUAUGGAAUCUGCCCGUUUUUCUUUAAGAUUGCUACUUAAAAACUUCCUCUUGAUUUACUCUCAUAUGGAAGAAAAGUCUACAUCAGCUUCAGGCAGAGUCAUGAGUCAUGUUUUGCUCCUCCAACAAAUACUUAGCAGGUAUUGAAGACUUAAAUGCAGUUUCCCCAUUUUAAUUAAAAGACCAUUAAUAGGUGCUGUUCUAAAAGCCUCACCUCAUAUUUUAACUGCUUACGCCUGCACCACAUCUAGAUGAUUUGGAGCGGAGGGAGCUGAGGCCCAUAUGUCAUACUCUCAUAAUCAAUUGCAUAUCUUAUAAUUGCCCUGUAUAUCAUCAUUAAUGUCCCUCGUUCUGCUCCCCAGUCAGUUUCUACCAGACACUGCAUGAUGUUAUUGAUUUUCUCACACAUUGCAACUAUCUUCACUAUGCACCCACCACUCUCUCCUUAAACCAGACACCCAGAAAUCUGAAUCUUUCACCUCUUCCAGUAGACUGUCUCUACUGUCCAGCUGCAGCUGAGGCAAAAACAUUACAAGGCUGAUUCUGCCACCUACAGGCCUGACGUGUGAAAAAUGUGCAGUCUACUAAAACAUGAUGCGGCUGUUCUAGAGAGAGGAAUAACCAGCCGCAGAAGAAGAGAUAUUUUUAAGGCCAUCUGACAUAUCUCCCUUUUUCAUUUGCUUUUGUUUUCUCUUUAUUUUUUCUCAUUUUUGUAUUUUAUUUGACUCAAUUUAUAGCAUACUCUAUUACAGAUACAAUUCCUACAUCCAAAAUGCAGUCACAAAAUGCAGAUAUAAUCAAUUUAAAGCAAAUCAGAAUUUAUUCUUUUAUAAUAUUAUGUUACAUCAUUAGGCUGUCCU
ensembl:lncRNA